rfam:Helicobacter cinaedi CCTG 18818 = ATCC BAA-847 DNA, complete genome.
GCCCGGGUGGUGAAAUUGGUAGACACAAGGGACUUAAAAUCCCUCGGACAUUGCGUCUGUACCGGUUCAAGUCCGGUCUCGGGCA